GUGUACCGUAAGAAAACAAUAGUUUCAGGUCGCUAUGGUUAUGUGAAUUAUUAUUUUAUAAUACGUACACGCGAAAGGUCGCAAUUAGAAUCGCUCCGUAAAUUUACAAAAUUUCUAAAUUUUUUAAGUGUAUAAGUAACCGAUAAUCCUCGAACAACAUGUCUUGUUGCCCUCCACCUUGCUGCCCACCUAGCUGUGCACCUUGCUGUGCCCCAUGUGUCCCUUGCUGUGUACCAUGUUGUGCACCCUGCGUCUGCGUGCCAUGCUGUGUGCCAUGUUGUCCACCAUGUUGCCCUCCUCCCUGCCCCCCUAAAUGCUGAUAGUAGAAGGAGAAAAAUUAACAAUAAUUUUCCACAUUUGUUUCGACUGGAUCGGUUUUUAACUCGGAACAAGCAAAACAGUGCAGCUAAACAAUUAAUUUUUCUCUUGAAUAAAAUUUGACUGCUCCUGCUCGAUUUAAGUAAAUGGUAGUUAGGACGAUGGAUUUGUGGAUGAAUUUUCGAAAUAUAAAAAUAAAAAAAAAUGGCGACCCGUACUAAUGUUUGUAACGUAACUUCUUUGUAAUCUAGCGUGUACAAUAAACGUUAAAAUGUAA